AUUGAACGCUGGCGGCAUGCCUUACACAUGCAAGUCGAACGGCAGCGCGGGGGCAACCCUGGCGGCGAGUGGCGAACGGGUGAGUAAUACAUCGGAACGUGUCCUGGAGUGGGGGAUAGCCCGGCGAAAGCCGGAUUAAUACCGCAUACGCUCUGAGGAGGAAAGCGGGGGAUCUUCGGACCUCGCGCUCAAGGGGCGGCCGAUGGCAGAUUAGCUAGUUGGUGGGGUAAAGGCCUACCAAGGCGACGAUCUGUAGCUGGUCUGAGAGGACGACCAGCC
rnacentral:rRNA from 1 species